ACGUUUUCAUUAACCCUGCAAAGAAUCUAAGGAAGAAAUUCCCAGUAUAGGGCUCAUCCCAGUGAAAUCUGACCUUGUUGAAGAUUAUGCUGGAGCUGUUUUGGCAGAUUUACCUAUUUUAAGCAGCAAUGAUCCUGCAGUUACUUCACUUAUUAAACAAACAGAAUUUGAUGAACUUCGGCACUGGCAUUCAGGCAAACCUCUCAGUGAUGAUUAUGACAGAACGAAGUGCACCAAUGAUGGGUGGGGUGUGGUUUUUGGCCGAAGGUGACACCUUUUGGGAGCCCUGUGGAUGCGAUGGAGCGUCUGGAAUGGGGCGUGGGAAGGAGAAGAGCGAUAUGAAGAUGGCAUCUAAGAUGAGGCCAGGUGCCUUCUGUGGAGGGAGACAUGGUGGACAAUACCAAGGAUUGGGGAGACAACCAGGUGUGAGCCCAGGGUGCAGAGAGCUGGGGAAGGGUGUCUGUGUCUGUAACACUUCUCUGUCCUCUCUCACAGAUGGAGUCCAAGAGGGAUAGGAAGGAGAGGACGAGCGCCCCAGUACUCAAGAAUAAUAAGGUGUAUCCUAGCUGCGCCCGGGGCUCUGUGGGGUUAAGAGCAGUGGAAGGGACAAGAGUCUCCUGUGCAGAGUGACUAUUUUGGGUGCAGGUGCACUGGGGUGCUUCUAAUUGUAGCUCCCAGAACAUCAUGGGAAGGGGGUUCAGGGUAGAGCCCUGGGGUGUGGGAGAUGCGAAAAGAAGAGCCCCGCCAUCACGGCAGUGUGUGACGAUAACUUUUGUUUUUCCUUCUUGCGUUGUGUUUGGCACCAAGGGAAAAGAAGUCUGUGUGUGUGUCUUGAUGCCACGCAAGACCUGUCCAGCUCACCCUCUCUCUCUUUUUACUGCCUCCUACCACAGGCCAUGGGCAGGAGAAGUGCGCAUUGAUCCCCACAGGCUUGGUCUCGAGAGCCUGCACCAUCUAGCAGGAGGGAAGAGAAUCAUAGCAGGUCCUGGAGGUGACAGAGGGGGAGGUGGGGUGACUGGCCACACAGCCCUUUGGCUCUGUCUCUUUUCAUCGCGUGGGGCUGCUCCAGAGCAUGUGGGAGACGGAGGGAGGCCGAGCUCUCGCGCACCGAUAGAGCUGUGGGCAGGGCUGCCUCGCUCGUCGGUUAUUUCCUGCGCUUGCAGAUGAGUCGCCCAGGAGCCCCAGGCAGAGGAGAAGCUGGAAGAAGUGGAGCUGAGCAGGCUGGACAUCCCGGUAAGCAGAGAUGAACAGUCCUGAGCCUUCUGCCUUUCCCACACUGGGUGUGAGUCAGCGGUGAUGGCACUCUCUUCCUCAGCUCUUCCCAGGGGAAAGAAGUCAUGAGGACGGAGUCCAGCCCCGAGGUGAGAUGGAAAGUGAGCGAGAGCAGUGACAGCGUGAAUCCUGUUGAUGCCAGGCAAGACCUGUCCAGCUGGGAGCGAAGCAGCUGUCGCUGUCAGUGAGGAAGAGAAGGAGGAGGCUGCAGGAUGGUGAAGGAGAGAAAAUCAACACUGCAGGAGCAGGAGAAGGUAAAGACCAGGAGAAUCCAGAAGCCAAGUUCACCAGAGAGGCACAGGGAACCUCUCUGCAACCUUCCCAAAACUCUCAUUUGAAGAGGGGUGUGGACUGUGGAAUAUGUAGCUUUCUCCCAAAAAACAUAAAGAAAUAGCUUUGAGCUCUGAUGUGCUAUGUAAGGUCAGUUCUUUGAUGGGGUUAGUGAGGGGUUCGAUGCCAUUUAACUAAUCCACUUUCAAGUCACACCUUCUACUAAUCAAAAUUCAUUUUCCUGAGUGUCCCCCUGUUGGCAAGCGCUGAAUUCUCCGUGCUGACCCAUCCCUUUAAGGCCCUGGGUUUGUGGUGCAGGAAGGGCUUGAUCACUUUUUACAGUGGGGGAGCUGAAAGCCGGCUAGCUGGACCCCUGUGUGUUCACAAGCAGUGUGAAAAAGCACAAUUCCCACUCACACUACUCAGGGGCAGCACAGCUCCGGGGCUCUCAAGGAUCACACACUAAUGCUAGCUUCAGAGGCGUGCGCACGGGGUGGGCCCAGGCACACCUGAAUCAGGGUCGCCCCAGAGCAAAAAAAAAAGGGGGGCGGCCGGACUGCUGGAGAUGGGGGGAGGGGGAGUCUGGAGUAGGGGGGCCCUGGCCCAGCCACUCUUCUCCGCCCCCGCUCUCUCCUGCGGGGGAGAAGCUUGGUGGGGCUGCACCCCAGGCUCGGUCCUGCUGCUCCGAGGCCGCCGGCAACCAAGCUCCCGCCUCUCCCCGCAGCUUGCUGCGGACUUGCCCCACCUCCGCCCCUGCCCCCAUUCCGCGGUGUGCCGGGCAGAGAGAGGGGGACGUGGAGAAGAGGCGGGGAGAGGGCCUUGAGGAAGGGGGUGGAAUCGGGGUAUACCUUCCAGCUCCCUCCUGUGAAACACUCAGGGCAGAGGGCUGGAAGCACCCCCCGACUCCAGCACACCUCCCCAGCCCUGACCCCUGCAGCCCUCUCCCACACACGCAGCCCUCUGCCCUGACUCCUGCAC